rnacentral:lncRNA from 1 species
AUGGCAACAAGAGUUACAAACAGUAAGAGCACAAGCAUCACUGGAAGAAACAUCACCAGAAUCACAUCAUGCCUUGACUGUGAGGUGAACAGGAGCCUGCAGAUCUCCAGCAGAACAGUAGUACCAGCCAGAAUCAGUGAGUCUCAGUCCAGUCAUCAGCACAGUGAAGGAUCUUCUCCCAUCAUCACUGAUCUGGACUGAUGAAUUCUGGGAUGUGUUAGUCCUCCCCACUGUGUAACAGCUCUGAUCUUUAUAUCUGCACCACUGUUUGACUUCAUUCUGAUAUCCAGAACUGUAGAAACACUGAACACUGAUAUCACCACCUUCAUGUCCAGAUACACUGCUGCUCACCACAGACACAUCAGGGUCUGAAAACCAUCAAAAGACAAUAAGAUUUUUUUUGUAAAUUUGCUUAUUAUUGUUUACGAAAUGCAAAUAUGUAAGUCUUCUUGUUAUAAUAAAGUGUUAACUAUUCAAAAACAGUUCUGUUUUAAAAUAAUUCUCGAAUCGAACAAUAUGACUAAAAAUGUAAAUUCUUAUGCGGAUCAUUGCAGUCUACUAAAUGAUUCUAGCGGCUAAACUCUAAAUAGCAAUGAUACUAUUUCCUUUUGCCAGUAUGCAAUCCUGACAUCAAGCUGCAUCUCCUACACUGCUACUGCAAAAGUCCUACUUUAUUCUACAAUCAGUGAUCAGAUUUAUCCAAACCAUAACAAACUGAGGCGGUGCAUUACAGUUUUUCUCAGUCGCUUCAGUACAUCUCUUCUUGAAUCAUCCUUAACAUUUGCAAACCACUAAGGGCAUUUCUCAUACUAUUCUUAUAAACAUCACCACACAAUAGAUUACCAAAAAAAGUUGCUCAAAACCUUCAGUUCAUCUCUCAACAGUAAGAGAUGAACUGGAGAAACCAAUAGUCUCUCAAAAACAACAUUUACUGGUGUAGUGGUAUAAACCAAAGUAGAUAUUUUAUUUAUUUAUUAUUAUUAUUAGUUUGCAUUUAUUACUGUAA